UACAGAGGUCUCAAGCGUUGUUCGGAUUCAUUGGGCGUAAAGGGUGCGUAGGUGGCGCCGUAAGUGGGGUGUGAAAUUUCGGGAGCUUAACUCCGAAACUGCAUUCCAUACUGCGGUGCUUGAGGACUGGAGAGGAGACUGGAAUUUACGGUGUAGCAGUGAAAUGCGUAGAGAUCGUAAGGAAGACCAGUGGCGAAGGCGGGUCUCUGGACAGUUCCUGACACUGAGGCACGAAGGCCAGGGGAGCAAACGGG
rnacentral:rRNA from 1 species